CAGCCGCCGCGGGAAUACCAGCACCUCGAGUGGUCAGGAGGUUUAUUGGGCCUAAAGCAUCCGUAGCCGGUUGCAUAAGUUUUCGGUUAAAUCUAUGCGCUUAACGUAUAGGCCGCCGAAAAUACUGUGCAGCUAGGGAGUGGGAGAGGUACACGGUACUCGAUAGGAAGGGGUAAAAUCCUUUGAUCUAUUGAUGACCACCUGUGGCGAAGGCGGUGUACCAGAACACGUUCGACGGUGGGGGAUGAAAGCUGGGGGAGCAAACCGGAUUAGAUACCCCAGUAGUCCCUGUCUCUUAUAC
rnacentral:rRNA from 1 species